rnacentral:rRNA from 1 species
ACACGACUCUCGGCAACGGAUAUCUCGGCUCUCGCAUCGAUGAARAACGUAGCGAAAUGCGAUACCUGGUGUGAAUUGCARAAUCCCGCGAACCAUCGAGUCUUUGAACGCAAGUUGCGCCCGAGGCCAUUCGGCCGAGGGCACGCCUGCCUGGGCGUCACMA